rnacentral:rRNA from 1 species
GAGUAACGCGUAGGUAACCUGCCUGGUAGCGGGGGAUAACUAUUGGAAACGAUAGCUAAUACCGCAUAAGAGUAGAUGUUGCAUGACAUUUGCUUAAAAGGUGCAAUUGCAUCACUACCAGAUGGACCUGCGUUGUAUUAGCUAGUUGGUGGGGUAACGGCUCACCAAGGCGACGAUACAUAGCCGACCUGAGAGGGUGAUCGGCCACACUGGGACUGAGACACGGCCCAGACUCCUACGGGAGGCAGCAGUAGGGAAUCUUCGGCAAUGGACGGAAGUCUGACCGAGCAACGCCGCGUGAGUGAAGAAGGUUUUCGGAUCGUAAAGCUCUGUUGUAAGAGAAGAACGAGUGUGAGAGUGGAAAGUUCACACUGUGACGGUAUCUUACCAGAAAGGGACGGCUAACUACGUGCCAGCAGCCGCGGUAAUACGUAGGUCCCGAGCGUUGUCCGGAUUUAUUGGGCGUAAAGCGAGCGCAGGCGGUUAGAUAAGUCUGAAGUUAAAGGCUGUGGCUUAACCAUAGUACGCUUUGGAAACUGUUUAACUUGAGUGCAAGAGGGGAGAGUGGAAUUCCAUGUGUAGCGGUGAAAUGCGUAGAUAUAUGGAGGAACACCGGUGGCGA